rfam:Ruminococcus sp. CAG:579 genomic scaffold, scf239
UUGCUGAUAUAUAGCCGCGAUGGUUUGAAAGGCGCUUAAUUGCUGACCGAGUAGAUCAAUAGGGAAGUCGGUUUGAGUCCGACGCAACCGCCAUUACUGUAUUAGACGCCGAAGCCGACGGAGUGCGCAGCUUUUUAUAAGCGCGCGGUCAUUGUUCGCAUACCGCGAAUGAGAAGACUUUUCCGCCGUGCCGAGUCUUGAGCCAGGAGACCUGCCGCGCGGCGAUGGAUCAA